UGAUAUUUGUUUUAGGAAAGC
rnacentral:siRNA from 1 species